rnacentral:tRNA from 1 species
GCUCAAGUGGUGGAAUGGUAGACACGCUAGUUUCAGGUACUAGUGACUUAUGUCGUGUGGGUUCAAAUCCCAUCUUGAGCA